rnacentral:lncRNA from 13 species
GUUUCCAAUCUUUGUCCUUUAACUGAAGGUUGUUUUGCUAUCCAUUCACCUUACACUGAGGCUGCGGUUCCUUAGAAAUGCAGACUGAAUGCAGUCUUUAUUGUUAGACUCACUGCUUAGGGUGGACUUCCUGAGCCUUGAGAAUCCAUCUGAAUGAGAAUAAAGGCAUAAACCAUUCAUGUAUGAAGAAGUUACUAUGCAGAUCUUUCAGUGGAAACCUCACAGCCCAGGACACGGUGGCAUGACACACUUAAUGUGCCGGCCUAGGACAUCAAGAGGCAAGAGGCAGCUUUGAGUUCAUGAGGACCAAUUCGACUUUGUCUCCAGAGAGCAAACCAUUGACGGAUGACACACCAAGAAGGUCCUCACAAGAUGCCAGCCCAUUGAUCUUGGAUUUUCCAGCCUCUAGAACUAGAGAGAUUGGAGGGAUGCAUCUCUACGACAAGGAACACCAAGGACUGCCAGCAAAGACCAGAAGCUUGAAGAAGCCAGAAAAAAUUUUCUCCAGCAGGUUUCAGAGGAAGCAUGACUCUGUCAACACGUUGGCUUCAGACUUGUAG